ACUUAAGCAUAUCAAUAAGCGGAGGAAAAGAAACCAACAGGGAUUGCCCUAGUAACGGCGAGUGAAGCGGCAACAGCUCAAAUUUGAAAGCUGGCUUAGGCCCGCAUUGUAAUUUGCAGAGGAUGCUUCUGGCGAGGUGCCUUCCGAGUUCCCUGGAACGGGACGCCAUAGAGGGUGAGAGCCCCGUAUGGAUGGACACCAGACCUGUGUGAAGCUCCUUCAACGAGUCGAGUAGUUUGGGAAUGCUGCUCUAAAUGGGAGGUAAAUCUCUUCUAAAGCUAAAUACCGGCCAGAGACCGAUAGCGCACAAGUAGAGUGAUCGAAAGAUGAAAAGCACCUUGAAAAGGGGGUUAAACAGUACGUGAAAUUGUUGAAAGGGAAGCGCUUGUGACCAGACUUGCGCCGGGCAGCUCAUCAGGGGUUCUCCCCUGUGCACUCUGCCCGGCUCAGGCCAGCAUCGGUUCUCGUGGGAGGAUAAGAACGGUAGGAACGUGGCCCCCCUCCGGGGGGGUGUUAUAGCCUGCCGUACGAUACUCCCGUGGGGACCGAGGUUCGCGCUCCGCAAGGAUGCUGGCGUAAUGGUCAUCAGCGACCCGUCUUGAAACACGGACCAAGGAGUCGUCCAUUAGAGCGAGCGUUUGGGUGUAAAACCCGCACGCGUAAUGAAAGUGAACGCAGGUGAGAGCUUCGGCGCAUCAUCGACCGAUCCUGAUGUCUUCGGAUGGAUUUGAGUAAGAGUUUUAACGGACGGACCCGAAAGACAGUGAACUAUGCUUGUAUAGGGUGAAGCCAGAGGAAACUCUGGUGGAGGCUCGCAGCGGUUCUGACGUGCAAAUCGAUCGUCAAAUAUGAGCAUGGGGGCGAAAGACUAAUCGAAC
rnacentral:rRNA from 1 species